rnacentral:lncRNA from 1 species
GUCGUUUUUCCCCUUUUAUGCAGUUCGUAUGCUAGCUUUAAUCUCAAGUAAAAGACUAUGGCAUUAAUUACCGCUGACGUUUUAUCUAAGGUCUAAUACAGCAAGGAUUGUAUGCCAAGCACUCAUCGAACUCGGCUCAAUGAGGUUUGUCCCCACCAAAGUAUCCAAUGCAUAUACUACAAGUGAUUACAAUUGAUCGACCAAGCCUUAUUGAUUGAAAAGCGGCAUGAUGCACAAAUUUCUCCUGUCUAAACUUCGAAACACAUCGAACAACAAACAGGGUUCCUAUCAACUUUUCAGCCGGUACUCCGCACCUUCAGCUUGAUGAUUUUAAUGUUCGAUAACGGCUACGUCAGCAAUCUCACGU